AUUGAACGCUGGCGGCAUGCCUAACACAUGCAAGUCGAACGGAAACGAUGGGAGCUUGCUCCCAGGCGUCGAGUGGCGGACGGGUGAGUAAUACUUAGGAAUCUGCCCAGUAGUGGGGGACAACCCGGGGAAACCCGGGCUAAUACCGCGUAAUCUCUACGGAGGAAAGAGGCCGUCUUCUUGAAAGCUCUCGCUAUUGGAUGAGCCUAAGUCGGAUUAGCUUGUUGGUGGGGUAAGGCCUACCAAGGCGACGAUCCGUAGCUGGUCUGAGAGGACGAUCAGCCACACUGGGACUGAGACACGGCCCA
rnacentral:rRNA from 1 species